rnacentral:misc_RNA from 1 species
UACGAAUGGGGCAAGCGUUGUUCGGAAUCACUGGGCUUAAAGCGUGCGUAGGCGGAUUUGCAAGUCAGAAGUGAAAGCCCAGGGCUCAACCUUGGAAUUGCUUUUGAAACUGCAAAUCUAGAAUCCGGGAGAGGUCAGGAGAAUUCCCAGUGUAGAGGUGAAAUUCGCAGAUAUUGGGAGGAAUACCAGUGGCGUAGGCGCCUGACUGGACCGGCAUUGACGCUGAGGUACGAAGCCCUGGGGCGCAAACCGG